rnacentral:rRNA from 1 species
GUGAGGAAAAUUGCGCAAUGGAGGCAACUCUGACGCAGCCAUGCCGCGUGCAGGAAGAAGGCGCUACGCGUUGUAAACUGCUUUUAACCGGGAAGAAACCCCAGGACGUGUCCUGGGUUGACGGUACCGGAGGAAUAAGCACCGGCUAACUUCGUGCCAGCAGCCGCGGUAAUACGAAGGGUGCAAGCGUUAUCCGGAUUCAUUGGGUUUAAAGGGUGCGUAGGCGGAGCGUUAAGUCAGUGGUGAAAUCCUGCAGCUUAACUGUAGACUUGCCAUUGAUACUGGCGCUCUUGAGUGCGCUUGAAGUGGGCGGAAUGUGCCGUGUAGCGGUGAAAUGCUUAGAUAUGGCACAGAACACCAAUUGCGAAGGCAGCUCACUAAGGCGAUACUGACGCUGAGGCACGAAAGCGUGGGGAUCGAACAGGAUUAGAAACCCGAGUAGUCC